rnacentral:rRNA from 1 species
UCCGGGCUCGACCUCCAACCCCAUUGUUAUCCGACCCUGUUGCCUCGGGGGUGACCCGGCCUUCGGGCUUGGGGCCCCCGGCGGACCCCAACCAAACACUGCAUCCAUGCGUCCGAGUCAAUAUUGAAUCAGUCAAAACUUUCAACAACGGAUCUCUUGGUUCUGGCAUCGAUGAAGAACGCAGCGAAAUGCGAUAAGUAAUGUGAAUUGCAGAAUUCAGUGAAUCAUCGAAUCUUUGAACGCACAUUGCGCCCCUUGGCAUUCCGAGGGGCAUGCCUGUUCGAGCGUCAUUACACCACUCAAGCCUGGCUUGGUAUUGGGUGCCGCGGGCAACCGCGCGCCCCAAAGUCACCGGCCGAGCCGUCCGUCUCCAAGCGUUGUGGCAACUAUCCGCUGGCGAGACCCCGGGCGACCCGGCCGUUAAACCUCUCAUCACAGGUUGACCUCGGAUCAGGUAGGGAUACCCGCUGAACUUAAGCAUAUCAAUAAGCGGAGGA